rnacentral:rRNA from 1 species
GAUGAACGCUGGCGGCGUGCCUAAUACAUGCAAGUAGAACGCUGAAGGAAGGAGCUUGCUCUUUCCGGAUGAGUUGCGAACGGGUGAGUAACGCGUAGGUAACCUGCCUGGUAGCGGGGGAUAACUAUUGGAAACGAUAGCUAAUACCGCAUAACAGUAGAUGUUGCAUGAUAUCUACUUAAAAGGUGCAAUUGCACCACUACCAGAUGGACCUGCGUUGUAUUAGCUAGUUGGUGAGGUAACGGCUCACCAAGGCGACGAUACAUAGCCGACCUGAGAGGGUGAUCGGCCACACUGGGACUGAGACACGGCCCAGACUCCUACGGGAGGCAGCAGUAGGGAAUCUUCGGCAAUGGACGGAAGUCUGACCGAGCAACGCCGUGUGAGUGAAGAAGGUUUUCGGAUCGUAAAGCUCUGUUGUAAGAGAAGAACGAGUGUGAGAGUGGAAAGUUCACACUGUGACGGUAUCUUACCAGAAAGGGACGGCUAACUACGU